rnacentral:tRNA from 1 species
CAAAGAAUAGUCCAAUUUAUGAUACUAGCUUUGGGAGCUAGAGGUGGGAGUUAAAGCCUCUCUUCUUUGA